AACGAACGCUGGCGGCAGGCCUAACACAUGCAAGUCGAACGCACCGCAAGGUGAGUGGCGCACGGGUGAGUAACACGUGGGAAUGUAUCCUUUGGUUCGGAAUAACGUCUGGAAACGGACGCUAAUACCGGAUGAGCCCUUAGGGGGAAAGAUUUAUCGCCAAAGGAGCAGCCCGCGUCUGAUUAGGUAGUUGGUGGGGUAAAGGCCUACCAAGCCGACGAUCAGUAGCUGGUCUGAGAGGAUGAUCAGCCACACUGGGACUGAGACACGGCCCAGACUCCUACGGGAGGCAGCAGUGGGGAAUAUUGGACAAUGGGCGCAAGCCUGAUCCAGCCAUGCCGCGUGAGUGAUGAAGGCCUUCGGGUUGUAAAGCUCUUUCGCACACGACAAUGAUGACGGUAGUGUGAGAAGAAGCCCCGGCUAACUUCGUGCCAGCCGCCGCAGUAAUAC
rnacentral:rRNA from 1 species